ACGUUGAAGACGACGACGUUGAUAGGUCGGGUGUGUAAGCGUAGCGAUACGUUGAGCUAACCGAUACUAAUGAACCGUGAGGCUUAACCUU
rnacentral:rRNA from 1 species